rnacentral:rRNA from 1 species
UACGUAGGGGGCAAGCGUUGUUCGGAGUUCAUUGGGCGUAAAGGGUGCGUAGGCGGCGCGGUAAGUCGGGUGUGAAAUCUCGGAGCUUAACUCCGAAACUGCAUUCGAUACUGCCGUGCUUGAGGACUGGAGAGGAGACUGGAAUUACGGUGUAGCGGUGAAAUGCGUAGAUAUCGUAAGGAAGACCAGUGGCGAAGGCGGGUCUCUGGACAGUUCCUGACGCUGAGGCACGAAGGUCAGGGGAGCAAACGGG